rnacentral:lncRNA from 8 species
UGUUUAUUAGUUUCUCUGUUUGUGUUUCAGCACUGUGGAUGAAUGUCCUCCACAGCAAAAGAGUAAACCUAUGUUCCAGCAGCUCAGUUUAAAAGAGAACAGUCUUCCGCUCCGUUCCCCUCAGGUUGACACCAAGGAGGUGUUGUGUCGUGUGUAUGUGAGUGCUGACUCCUACCUGUGUGUUUACACACACUCUUUGCU